rnacentral:ncRNA from 1 species
CGCGUCCGGGUCUGUGGUUGCCCGGGGAUCCGAUCCUCGGUAGUCGAUGCCAGCCGCGGGCGAAGCGACCCACGUAAGGCGACCCUUGGUCGCCGAGCAUGGCGCGGUUUAGAUGUAAGUCCUGCCCCGGCGGGGGUGACCUCGCCGGGAGAGGGUGGCGAAGCCGUCCGCUGGGCGGCGAUCCCUCCGGCAGGCGGGUGUGGGGCCAAAGACCAGGUCAGCCGGACGCG